rnacentral:rRNA from 1 species
AACGAACGCUGGCGGCAGGCUUAACACAUGCAAGUCGAACGCACCUUCGGGUGAGUGGCGCACGGGUGAGUAACACGUGGGAAUAUACCUUUCGGUGGGGGAUAACUUCGGGAAACUAGAGCUAAUACCGCAUACGCCCCUUGGGGGAAAGAUUUAUCGCCGAAAGAUUAGCCCGCGUCCGAUUAGCUAGUUGGUGAGGUAAUGGCUUACCAAGGCGACGAUCGGUAGCUGGUCUGAGAGGAUGGCCAGCCACACUGGGACUGAGACACGGCCCAGACUCCUACGGGAGGCAGCAGUGGGGAAUAUUGGACAAUGGGCGGAAGCCUGAUCCAGCCAUGCCGCGUGAAUGAUGAAGGCCUUAGGGUUGUAAAGUUCUUUCACCCACGACGAUGAUGACGGUAGUGGGAGAAGAAGCCCCGGCUAACUUCGUGCCAGCCGCCGCAGUAACAC